rnacentral:misc_RNA from 1 species
AUAAUGAUUAUAGAGAUCAACUUUUUUUUUAUACGAUUAUUAUGAUUACCUUACUAUUACUUUGUAUUUGACUAAUGUCAAAUAAAUGUUAUGUAACAUAAAUAUUUGCUUCAUUAUUAAAAACCUUUCUAAAGUCUAAAGUUAUACUAUAAUUUUGCUUUUCUAGUAAAAAGAUUUAAUAACAUAAAAGUGUUUCAAUCAUGAAUGAUAUUUUGAAUAUGAUAUUAUUUACGUAUAUUAAAUUUAACAGAAGAACGAAAACAACAAACACUGCACGUAAAUCGAAUAUGACUGUAAUAACAGAUAGAAGAAAAUGGAAGAGGGAAAGUGAACAUGAAAAAAUGUCUUAUGAUAUUGAUCUAUUUCUUACACAAGA